GCCGGGCGUGGUGGCUCAUGCCUGUAAUCCCAGUACUUUGGGAGGCCGAGGCGGGUGGAUCACCUGAGGUCAGGAGUUCGAAACCACCCUGACCAACAUGGUGAAACCCCGUCUCUA
rnacentral:SRP_RNA from 1 species